GCCUAGUUGGUGUAGUUGAAAGCACACUCGGGUUCUAUCCGAGAGGCCUUGGUUCAAAUCUAAGAUUGGGCA
rnacentral:tRNA from 1 species